GACGAACGCUGGCGGCGUGCUUAACACAUGCAAGUCGAACGAUGAAGCCGGAGCUUGCUCUGGUGAAUUAGUGGCGAACGGGUGAGUAACACGUGAGUAACCUGCCCUUGACUCUGGGAUAACUGCGGGAAACUGUAGCUAAUACCGGAUACGACCCUCGGAGGCAUCUCCUGGGGGUGGAAAGAAUUUCGGUCAAGGAUGGACUCGCGGCCUAUCAGCUAGUUGGUGAGGUAAAGGCUCACCAAGGCGACGACGGGUAGCCGGCCUGAGAGGAUGACCGGCCACACUGGGACUGAGACACGGCCCAGACUCCUACGGGAGGCAGCAGUGGGGAAUAUUGCACAAUGGGCGCAAGCCUGAUGCAGCAACGCCGCGUGAGGGAUGACGGCCUUCGGGUUGUAAACCUCUUUUAGCAGGGAAGGAGCGAAAGUGACGGUACCUGCAGAAAAAGCACCGGCUAACUACGUGCCAGCCGCCGCGGUAA
rnacentral:rRNA from 1 species